rnacentral:rRNA from 1 species
UACAGAGGUCUCAAGCGUUGUUCGGAUUCAUUGGGCGUAAAGGGUGCGUAGGCGGCGCGGUAAGUCGGGUGUGAAAUCUCGGAGCUUAACUCCGAAACUGCAUUCGAUACUGCCGUGCUUGAGGACUGGAGAGGAGACUGGAAUUUACGGUGUAGCGGUGAAAUGCGUAGAUAUCGUAAGGAAGACCGUGGCGAAGGCGGGUCACGUGGCCCGGUACUGGACGCCUGGAGGUGCGAAAGCGUGGGGAGCAAACAGG